GCGGCCACUUGGAGGCAGUAGAACACAGGCUACAUCGAGGCCAUCACGACUAAACGCUGUAAACUGAAGAAAUAUAUCCGUGUUUUUGUUUUUUUUUAAACACAGAAUGAGGGAAAUUGCCAACCGCUGGAAUAUUUGCUGGCAACCGUUGAGGCUAACUACAGCUCAUGUCUGGAAAAGCUCACGUAAGGUCACUUGUAAGUAUGCUGAUAUCAUCGUCACACUCAUUUUUUUUGACAACUUGACGUUCCCCUCUUGUGAUUCAUCCCUCAAACUGAUGGAGUGAACACUGACACCUCCGAUUAGCAUUUUUAUUUUGAAUGUAUGAUAGACAUUGCACAUGAAUGUAUUUUUUUUUUUGGGGGGGGGGGGGGGGAUUUGGUGGUUGCAGGGCACUAGCUUUUGGAAAAGUGAGUUUGCAUUGAUAUUGGGGAAAUGUAGCUGCAAUGCCUUUGGGCCACUGGUGAUCUUUCGAAGAAGAUGAACAGAUGAGUUUGGGGAAGGGAACCUGAAUGCAAUUUCACAAGGUCUGAAAUUGGACUUGAAGAAAAUCCAGUGUCCCGACUCAAAAAAAAAAAAAAAAAAACCCGAUGGCGGUUGCGGCUGCGAGAUUAGCUCCGAUUCUUUGGUAACAGGCCUCUGCUGUUUACUUUUUCUUUUCUCUUGAAAACAUUUAAUUCAGAUAAUUACAUUCAUAAACUAUUAGCUCGAUAUAGCGGUGACAGUUAAUCCAGAAACUGAAAAAGUAGACAUUGGUUCUCGAAUGCAUUGCACCAGUUAGUGUACCGGUCUACUCAAAACUGACACAUUCUGUACAAUAAUAUACAAUAAAACGGAGCUCGUCAUUCCAGUGGUCCUUCCAUCAUUUCGCUGACAUUUUGAUUCCUCACAGGACAAACCAAAGUUGACCUGUGCGAAGUUAAGCUUUGGCGAAUGAAAUGCACAAUAACAAGUGUCCACUUUCUCCCACCUUUUCUAUUAGUUUGGACAGAAUAGAGAGAUCGGGAUUGUCUGUUUUGUCAAUCUUUGACUGUGCUUUUGGACAUUAGGCUCAGAUGAUGUUUAUAUGACACCACAUCAUGUUCCCCAUUGUAGACAGUCCACUUGCUUGCAAGUAUACAUAGUACAGUUUUGUUUUGUGUAAGUGCGUUUAAUUAUUUUUGUUGUUAUAUCAACUCACUGGACAUUUCAGUAGGUACACCCGCAUGUUGUCUGCUUCGAUGCAAUACGACAGCCGAAGAAACCAGAAUUUAAUACUCAAUUUGAUAUCCACUGACAUAGAGGCGGCUCUGAUGGAGGAAGCAAAGAGGGAUAUGAUUCAACCCGCGACUAUUUCGAAAGACGCGUGGCCUCGCUGAGGCCGGACGGGCGCGAGGUCGGCAGCUUCCCUCUCCGCUGAUUCCGACAGGCGCGUCUAAUCCAGACGCUGCCGCAUUUGCUAAACACGCGUUUUGCGAUUGACGGGGAAACAUCAAAACAACCUGCCGCGAGAUUACACUGCGUGCUGAGUCAAAGUGCAUCAGCGACGCACUGACAAUAAUGCCACGUGAAGCCCACCCAAGCUUCCGCAGAGACGCCGCAACAGGACAGGCGACCGAUUUGAAGUCGGAAUUCAACACGAGCGUCCUUCGAAAGUCACCGCGGAAACCUGAAAAGCGUGGAGACCACGAAACUGAAAGCAGUGCACUCAACUGUCCUGGCUGCUCCGAAAAAUCAUUCGGUUCUCAUCUCCAGCAUGACCUCUUUCGGCGUGUUCACUACCACGCGAACGUCCAAUCAGACAUUACCCCAAUUCGAGGUGAGUGUGCAAUGUCUUGUUUUGAUUUGUUUCAAUCUACAAUAAUUGCGCUCUUUUUACAUUUUUAUCCAGUUAUUAAAAAAAAAAAAAAAAAAAGCACAAUGACUGAAGUUGACUCGCCUUCAGCGAUACUCCCGCUCUCCGGUUCCCUCGGGUUCAAUAUUUGCAAAACAAAGAUCCGACUUGACUUCGCAGGGCGCUACGCGGACGCGUCCUUCACGGCGAUGUGACACAGGCCCGGAUUUAGUGAAGAAAGUGCCACCGCGAUUCAGAAAAUAAAGACGUGCUGAAUAGAGGAGGAGAAAGGGAGCGGGGGGGAGACGGGGUCCCUUGGCAAGAAAGAAAAGGAAAACAAUGAGAGAAAACGAAAGGAAAAGAAGCUGGAAAGGAGAGGAGGAGAGAUAAAAGGGAAGUGACAGAAAAAAAAAACAUACACAGCAGCCCUUAAAAAUGAUUUGAAGCCGGAAGAGACAAAAAAAAUGUCUGUCGCAACAGAAUGCGAGCAGAUUGGUGUCGUUUUUGUUUAGAAUUUGCCACAAUAAGACAUUUUGAUGACAUGCUGUGCCAAUUUCAGUCAUUUCGAUUGAUUGGGUAAUUUGAUGUCCUUGUUAUGUAUUACUCAUUUCUCUCAAACAAUAUGCAAAGAAUUCAAAUCGCAAUCGUUCCGCAGCGAGACCGACUUAUUAAUUGUGAAAUUAAACAUAAGUUUUGGAAAGAGCGGCAAUAAUUGGGCCGAGAGGUGUUUGCCUUACGUCGAUGUGAAAUAUUAAAAGCACCGCACAGCGUGACGUCGCGUACGCCUGCAACGCUGCAAAAUGCGACCGUUAUGAUAAACGUGCCCAAUUAAUACCGCAAUUUAAUAUUAUCAUCUUUGUAGCGGCAGAAUUUUGGAUACAGAUGUCGUUUUGGAUCUCGGUGUUGUUAUCAGAGUUUGAAAAAUUUAAAAAAAGACAGUAAUUAGACUCAAGUAAGAGUUAUGCAAAGUUUGGAAGUCAAAGUAGCCCCCAAAAUACUGUCAUCGUAUUAAAAACAAUACUCGAGUACUUAGUAACAAGUGAGUAACUUCUGAUUUGUUUUAGUCCAAUUAAAUCAAAGCCGGAACCCCGAAUACACAAAGACUUGAAAGGAACGCGCAACUGCAGGUGACAAUAUCAUAAUAAAAUUAAAACUCCUACUUGAACACGUACGGAGCAGCAACACACGUAGAGCACAAUACUCGCAGGCAUACAGGUGAAAACAACCUUCGUAAUGUCAAAAAAAAAAAAAAAGAAAAGAUCUCGUGUCUUGUUUGGUAAUUUUGUCAUUAUAACCAUCAAGGGCAAGUGGUGAGAGGCCCCCCCCCCGCCCCGAACUUGAGUCACCUCUCCCUCGCUAACACGAGCAGGACGGCUCCCAAUCCGCCCACCGAAUGACCUCGCGUGACGUCACCGUAGCGAACACACGCCCGGGCUCGCCGUCUCCCCCUCGGCCCCUUCGCAAGACUUUCUGGCGGGUUGCGGCUCAUUGUUUUCCUGCGCCGCCUCACUCGGAAUUUGAACCUUUUGGCUUCAGUCGCGCGGACGAGGGACAAUGGAAAAACGCGUAGUGCUGUGAAAUUUCUGCCACUACGUUAUCACUGUCCCAAUGAGCCAAUAAGGAUGGAUUGAACUUUUUCACGCUUUUCAAUUUUAGUUGGCAAGUUUUGUCUUCAUUUCAACACCCUUUGUUUGGAAGUCGCAGUCACAGAAAUAUGCGAAGUUUACUGUCCCGCUAUUACUGUACUGCUUAUUGUUUGGAAUACUUUUUUUUCAUCAAAAGUUAGGAAUAUUCGGCUUUGAUGUUAGAUUUCAGGAAAAACCUAAAACGCUUGUUGAGAGCCGUUACAGGUGAACAUACGUACUAAAAUUUACAUUUACAGAUAUGUACAGUGAAGAAAAUAAGUAUUUGGUCUAAGCGAUCCUUAGAGAGGUGAAGAAUCAGUCCAGGACUACACGACAGGACUUGGUAAAGAAGCAUAUCAAGGUUCUGGCGUGGCCUAGCCAGUCUCCAGACCUAAACCCAAUAGAAAAUCUUUGGAGGUGAGCUGAAACUCCGUGUUUCUCAGCGACAGCCCAGAAACCCGUCUGAUCUAGAGAAGAUCUGUUUGGAGGAGUGAUCCGAAAUCCCUCCUGCAGUGUGUGCAAACCUGGUGAACAAAUACAGGAAACGUUUGACCUCUGUAAUAGCAAACAAAGGCUACUGGACCAAAUAUUAACAUUGGUUUUCUCAGGUGUUCAAAUACUUAUUUGCAGCUGUAUCACACAAAUAAAUCAUUAAUAAAAUCAUACAUUAUGAUUUCUGGAGUUUUCUUUUUAGAUUAGCUCUCUCACAGGGGACACGCACCUACAAUGAAAAUUUCAGACCCCUCCAUGAUUUCAAAGUGGGAGAACUUGCAAUAUAGCAGAGUGUUCAAAUACUUAUUUUCUUCACUGUACACUUGGGAAUAUUUGGCUUUGAUGUUAGAUUUCAGGAUGAACCUAAAACGCUUGAGAGCCGUUACAAGUCACCAUGUGUACUAAAAUAUGACAGCCACAUUGAUACAGUAUGUAUACUGUGCACGGACACUCAGCUCGUCAGUGCGGCAGUAAUAUUAGUCGUUCUUCACGGAGGAUAGAGAAUAUGCGCCUGUGAGUAUUGUUAUAUUGUCUGUCUGCCUGUGUUGCUGAACCGUUUUGGUUCCGAUAACUGUAGUUUAAUGGGUAGCAACACCGCUGCAAAGAUGCUAAUUGUUAGCUUGUGUGCCUGUGGCGCUUCCUAUUAUACGUUAAGCUAGUGGCGGCUAUGUGGUUGUUUUCAAUACACGUGUAUUUUUUUUUUAUUUUUAUUUUUUUUUCACGUGCAGACUGACAAUAACAUUUGAGUGAAACUAAAUCAACUUGACGUCCGUUUCUUACCAAUUAUAUCAGC